ACCCUCUCAGGGUCACAACUGGAGAGUUUCUAGUACUCUAUCAGUCUCGGUUACAAGAGAGACAGUCAAGCAGAGGAAUACCCAUUCAAUUCCUAAUUUGGGCAGUGGUUAGCAAGUGGAAGGCAAUCUGCUACAAGU